AUCCAUCUGACGAGUCCCAAAUAGGAUGAAACGCGCGGCCUGGAU
rfam:Schistosoma mattheei strain Denwood, Zambia genome assembly, scaffold: SMTD_scaffold0001448